rnacentral:tRNA from 1 species
GAGGAGAUAGCUUAGUGGUAAAACACAUGCCUAGCAUGCAUAAGGCCUUGGGUUCAAUCCCCAACACCACA